rnacentral:rRNA from 1 species
AUCUUGCCGACCUCAGUUCAGUCGAGACUACCCCCCGAAUUUAAGCAUAUUAAUAAGGCGGAGGAAAAGAAACUAACAAGGAUUCCGUCAGUAGCGGCGAGCGAACACGGAAGAGCCCAGCGCUGAAUCCCCCGGUCCGUCGGGCCGGCGGGAAAUGUAGCGUUAGGGAGCGUCCGUAUACCCGGGCGUGCGCGGCGAGCACAAGUCUCCCUUGAACGGUGCCAUAAUCCAUAGAGGGUGCCAGGCCCGUACUGCCGCCGCCGCGACCGAGUGGACGUCUCCUGGGAGUCGGUCUGUUUGAGAACGCAGACCUAAGCGGGUGGUAAACUCCAUCUAAGGCUAAAUAUGACCACGAGACCGAUAGCGCACAAGUACCGUGAGGGAAAGGUGAAAAGAACUUUGAAGAGAGAGUUCAAGAGUACGUGAAACUGGAGAGGUGAAAACGGAUGUGGUUCGAAAUUCCGAACGGCGGUGUUCAGUCUCACCGGCUGCUCGGGCCUCCCGGCCGCGGAGAUCAAGGGUCCCUGCCGGCGUGCGGCUGCCUCUCGGGGUGGUCGUCGCGUCGCUUGGGCCCCUCCCGGUCGGGGUCUAUACUGGCUCGGGGCGGUGUGGAUGCACUCGCUGCCGUAGUAGGAUGUCGCGACUCGUUGGGUGGCGGUCGUGAGGUUUGGCGGGGUAGCCCGGUGUCCGUGUGUCGUGCGCCUCUGAGGUGAAAUGCACGCGGUGCGGCCCGGACCCGCCUUGCUCUCUCCGUCUGCCCGACGGUAUCGAAAAGGCGCCGGGGUCUCCGGCCCGCUGUUUAAAGCCCCUUGCUCGUCUCGGGGUAGGCGGGCCAGUAUACCCGGUUGUCUGCGGCAUUGCCUGUUUCGGAUCCAUAUCCGACCCGUCUUGAAACACGGACCAAGGAGCGUAACACAUGCGCGAGUCGAAGGGUGCUACUAAACCCGGAGGCGAAGCGAAAGCGUAAGGGACGAUGGCAUUUGGUCGCGCUCUCCCGGCGACGGGAUCCGGCCGGCCCGCAGUCCCGGGGCACCUCAACGUUCCGUCCGGGCCUCGCGCCCGGCUGAGCAGAGGCGCACCUGUGAGCGUAUGUGUUGUUACCCGAAAGAUGGUGAACUAUGCCUGGCCAGGACGAAGCCAGGGGAAACCCUGGUGGAAGUCCGUAGCGAUUCUGACGUGCAAAUCGAUCGUCGGAGCUGGGUAUAGGGGCGAAAGACUAAUCGAACCAUCUAGUAGCUGGUUCCCUCCGAAGUUUCCCUCAGGAUAGCUGGCGCUCGGAGGAUAAUGAAACGGAUGUAGAGUCUCAUCCGGUAAAGCGAAUGAUUAGAGGCCUUGGGGCCGAAACGACCUCAACCUAUUCUCAAACUUUAAAUGGGUGAGAACCCCGGCUUGCUUGAGACCGGUGUGCCCUCGCGUGGUCGUUGUUUCCGUCCUUCAGUGGGCGGCCCGGCGCGCGGGGGUCCCGGAGACCUUGUUUGAAGCCGGGGAACACUAUAUGCUGGAUCAUGAGUGCCAAGUGGGCCAAUUUUGGUAAGCAGAACUGGCGCUGUGGGAUGAACCAAACGCAGAGUUAAAGCGCCUAAAUCGACGCUCAUGGGAGACCAUGAAAGGUGUUGGUUGCUUAAGACAGCAGGACGGUGGCCAUGGAAGUCGGAAUCCGCUAAGGAGUGUGUAACAACUCACCUGCCGAAGCAACUAGCCCUUAAAAUGGAUGGCGCUGAAGCGUCGUGCUUAUACUCUGCCGCCGGUGGCAAAAGCGGCCGGUAAGGCGGACGGCCCCGCCCUCGCGGGCGGGAAACCGGCCCCGAGCCUUGAGGCCCCGGUGAGUAGGAGGGUCGCUCGGGUGGCGCAGAAGGGUCUGGGCGUGAGCCUGCCUGGAGCCGCCCGAGGUGCAGAUCUUGGUGGUAGUAGCAAAUACUCCAGAGAGGGCCCUGGAGGGCUGAUGCGGAGAAGGGUUCCGUGUGAACAGCUGUUGCACACGGGUCAGUCGAUCCUAAGCCCUAGGAGAACUCCUAUGUGCGAUGUGCGGGUGUUUUCUUGACCGGGUCUAGCAUCCCGCCAGGUUAAUAUCCCCCGCCGCCGGGCGAAAGGGAAUCAGGUUCCUAUUCCUGAACCCAGAUGCGGUACCGUUCUACCGGGCUUGUCUCGAAGCCGUCGGCGCCUCGCCUCGUGCGUGCGCGUCCGGCGUGCCUAGGGCGAACUCGUCGAGGUAACUCGAACAGCCACGGAGAAGCCGGCCGGAGCUCCCGGGAGAGUUGUCUUUUCUGUAUUACCGUGCAAGUUCCCUGGAAUUCCAUUGCGGAGAGAGAGGGAAUAGCGCGGGAAGAGCACCGCACUUGCGGCGGUGUCGGGAGUGACCGCUCGGACCAUGAAAAUCCGUGUGAGGGCUACGGAGAACAACCGAUCUGGCUCGUACCCAUAUCCGCAGCCGGUCUCCAAGGUGAAGAGCCUCUAGUCGAUAGACUAAUGUAGGUAAGGGAAGUCGGCAAAUUGGAUCCGU